rnacentral:misc_RNA from 1 species
GAUGAAGAACGUAGCGAAAUGCGAUAAGUAAUGUGAAUUGCAGAAUUCAGUGAAUCAUCGAAUCUUUGAACGCAUCUUGCGCUCCUUGGUAUUCCUUGGAGCAUGCCUGUUUGAGUAUCAUGAGCAAAUCUCAAAGUCAAUUCCUUUUGUUAAUUCAAUUGGUUUUGCUUUGGACUUGGAGGUCUUGCAGAUUUUCACAGUCUGCUCCUCUUAAAUGCAUAGCUGGAUCUCAGUAAUUAUGCUUGGUUCCACUCGGCGUGAUAAGUAUCACUCGCUGAGGACACUGUUAAAAAGGUGGCCAGGAAAAUACUGAUUGAACCGCUUCUAACGGUCUAUUAAGUUAGACAAUUACCCUUAAGUUUGAUCUCAAAUCAGGUAGGACUACCCGCUGAACUUAAGCAUAUCAAUAAGCGGAGGA